AUGCAUUGGCGCAAAUGGCAGGACAUAGCUAUCCCCAAGUGUGUGGGAGGUAUGGGAUUCAGGGACUUCCAUCUUUUCAAUCAGGCAAUGCUUGCCAAGCAAGGAUGGAGGCUCAUAACUAAUCCAGAAUCAUUAUGUGCGAGAGUGCUUCGCGGGAAAUAUUUUCACGGGAAAGAGUUCAUGUCUGCAUCAAAAAGGAGAGGUUCUUCUCACACUUGGCGGGCUAUUCUGUUUGGA
rnacentral:rRNA from 1 species